rnacentral:rRNA from 1 species
AACGAACGCUGGCGGCAUGCCUAACACAUGCAAGUCGAACGAGACCUUCGGGUCUAGUGGCGCACGGGUGCGUAACGCGUGGGAAUCUGCCCUUGGGUUCGGAACAACAGUUGGAAACGACUGCUAAUACCGGAUGAUGACUUCGGUCCAAAGAUUUAUCGCCCAAGGAUGAGCCCGCGUAGGAUUAGCUUGUUGGUGAGGUAAAAGCUCACCAAGGCGACGAUCCUUAGCUGGUCUGAGAGGAUGAUCAGCCACACUGGGACUGAGACACGGCCCAGACUCCUACGGGAGGCAGCAGUGGGGAAUAUUGGACAAUGGGCGAAAGCCUGAUCCAGCAAUGCCGCGUGAGUGAUGAAGGCCUUAGGGUUGUAAAGCUCUUUUACCCGGGAUGAUAAUGACAGUACCGGGAGAAUAAGCCCCGGCUAACUCCGUGCCAGCCGCCGCCGUAA